rnacentral:rRNA from 1 species
AUUGAACGCUGGCGGCAUGCCUUACACAUGCAAGUCGAACGGUAACAGGUCUUCGGAUGCUGACGAGUGGCGAACGGGUGAGUAAUACAUCGGAACGUGCCCGAUCGUGGGGGAUAACGCAGCGAAAGCUGUGCUAAUACCGCAUACGAUCUACGGAUGAAAGCGGGGGAUCGCAAGACCUCGCGCGGACGGAGCGGCCGAUGGCAGAUUAGGUAGUUGGUGGGAUAAAAGCUUACCAAGCCGACGAUCUGUAGCUGGUCUGAGAGGACGACCAGCCACACUGGGACUGAGACACGGCCCAGGCUCCUACGGGAGGCAGCAGUGGGGAAUUUUGGACAAUGGGGGAAACCCUGAUCCAGCCAUGCCGCGUGCAGGAUGAAGGCCUCGGGUUGUAACUAGCUUUGUUACGGUAACGAAAAGGUACCGUUUCUAACUUAAAGAAGGGACGUCAUGACGGUACCGUAACGAAUAAG